rnacentral:misc_RNA from 1 species
CUCCCUUUCUCUUUGACUUCGGCCGAUAACAAAGGAGGGAAAGGAUAUAGCUUGUUUGUGUUCAAUUUUUCUGUGUUGUUGCUACAUUUGAACCAUGGCGCUGUAUUUACUAUAUGAGUCGGCGUCUGGUUAUAGUCUCUUUCUCGCUAAUGGUCUCGAUGAAAUUGGGCAGAACACAGAUGCUGUUCGCAGCUCCGUCGCAGAUCUCAA